rnacentral:rRNA from 1 species
UACGUAGGCAGCGAGCGUUGUUCGGAGUUACUGGGCGUAAAGGGUGUGUAGGCGGUUGUUUAAGUUUGGUGUGAAAUCUCCCGGCUCAACUGGGAGGGUGCGCCGAAUACUGAAUGACUUGGGAGUGCGGGGAGAGGUGAGUGGAAUUCCUGGUGUAGCGGUGAAAUGCGUAGAUAUCGGGGAGGAACACCUGUGGCGAAGGCGGCCACCUGGUUGGAUACUGACGCUGAGACGGCGAAAAGCGUGGGGAGCAAACAGG